ACUCCUACGGGAGGCAGCAGUGGGGAAUCUUCCGCAAUGGGCGAAAGCCUGACGGAGCAACGCCGCGUGAGUGACGAAGGCCCUUGGGUCGUAAAACUCUGUCUUCAGGGAAGAAAAAAAUGACGGUACCUGAGGAGGAAGCCCCGGCUAACUACGUGCCAGCAGCCGCGGUAAAACGUAGGGGGCGAGCGUUGUCCGGAAUUACUGGGCGUAAAGGGCGUGUAGGCGGUUCGCGAAGCCAGGAGUGAAAACUCGGGGCUCAACCUCGAGAUUGCUUUUGAAACCAGCGGGCUUGAGUGCAGGAGAGGAAAGUGGAAUUCCCAGUGUAGCGGUGAAAUGCGUAGAUAUUGGGAGGAACACCAGUGGCGAAAGCGGCUUUCUGGCCUGUAACUGACGCUGAGGCGCGAAAGCGUGGGGAGCAAACAGGAUUAGAUACCCUGGUAGUCCACGCCGUAAACGAUGGGUGCUAAGUGUUGGGGGUAUCGACCCCCUCAGUGCUGUAGUUAACGCAAUAAGCACCCCGCCUGGGGAGUACGGUCGCAAGACUGAAACUCAAAGGAAUUGACGGGGGCCCGCACAAGCGGUGGAGCAUGUGGUUUAAUUCGACGCAACGCGAAGAACCUUACCAGGGAUUGACAUCCCCUGACCGGGCAUGAAAGUGUCCUUUCCCUUCGGGGACAGGGAGACAGGUGGUGCAUGGUUGUCGUCAGCUCGUGUCGUGAG
rnacentral:rRNA from 1 species